AUGCACCCAUUUCUUCAUCUUGUCAUUCAGCUGCUUCCACUCCACACGCUGAACCUCAUCGAUGCUGAGACGCUCGACCCCCAGAACUGUGAGGCACUCAUCAAGCAGGUCCCGGCGGAUGCCACAGUAAACCUGCACGAGCUCACUUGCAUAGCCAGCGCGCCCCAUCCGCUCAGCAAUGGCGCGCAGCUCAUCAACAGCGUCAGGCCGCACCAGGUCGAACAGCUGGUCGUCGAAGGGGUUCCCCACGAGACUGGCGCUGCGGGCGGUAUCUGGCGCGCCCUCCUGGCUGUGCGGGGUGGUGGGGUCGAACUCGGAGGAGGUGUCGAGGUCGUCCAUGGACUCGAGCGAGAGGCGGCGGAGCGAGCAGUAGAGGCCGCUGGCGUCGAGCGGCACGGCGUGGUGGAGCAUGAGGUGGCGGAGCUCGUCCUCGAGGCGCGCCAUGGCGAGCUGCACGGCGACGCCCGCGCGGCCCGAGGCGGCGGCGGCGCCCCCGGCGGCGAGGUGGUCGACGGCGACGUCGACCGCGGCGAGGUAGUUGGCGGCGUCGUCCUCGGGCGCCUCGAAGACGAGCGCCUCCGGGGUGGUGUCCCAGAGGUGGAUGAGCCGCGCCGCUUCGUCGAAAUCCGCCAGGGAGGGGGCCUCCGGGUCGGCGUCGGCGUCGGACGGGGAACGGGAGCGAGAGGGCGAGGUGGAGUGGAAGAGGUCGGAGGUGAUGUUGGAGAAGCGGUAGUCGAAGCCCGAGAGGAUGCGGAUCAUGUCGUCGGCGGCGUUCUUGGAGGUGGCGAGCGACUUGACGAUGUGGUGCGCCGCGGCGAGGACCCUGUCGUUGCCGGCGACGGCGACGGCCAGAGGCACGGCGUCCUCCUCCGGCGGCGGGGGAGACGCCGACAUCGCCGGCGGGCCGCUAGGGUUUGGUCCGGCGGUGGUUUACUGACGCGACACUAG
rnacentral:rRNA from 1 species